rnacentral:lncRNA from 1 species
AGAGAAGCAUGGCUAGAAGUCACUUAAGAAAUAGCCCCAGCUUCUGACUUUCAAGCUAAACUCCUCCCCAGUUACCUAGCAACAUUAAAGACCAUAAAAAGGGUUGUUCAGCCCCUGCUUGCUCUCUUACUUCUUACUCUCUGUCUCUCUCUUCUUACCCCUCACUCUCCCCCUCUCUCCUCUGUGUCUUCUCUCCUCUCCUCUCUCCUCUCUCUGCUUCUCUCUCUCUCUCUCUCUCUCUCUCUCUCUCUCUCUCUCUCUCUCUCUCCCCUACCUUCUCUCUUUCCCCAUGCCUUUCUACAAUAAAGCUCUAGAGUCUCUGCUCAUCAAGAUCUGCUGCACUCACUCUGGUCAGUGUUGGGGACCUCUUCCCUCAUCCUUCUCUCCUAUAACCCUGGUGGCUUUAGCAAAGUAGCUCCGGGGUUCCCAGGUAGGGUUGCCUCUGGCCACCCUCUGAAGAGUGGCUCAGAGGCCUGAAUGCCCACCCAGGGAUGAGUGGAAGGUAGAUAGCAACUCGCCCAUACCUGACAGACCAGAGAAUAGCCUCAAACUCAGUGUCUAUAUGAGGAGAACGACCUUAAACGUAUGUUUCAGAGGACUGGGACUACAUGAGUGCACCAACAUGGCUGGUUUCUGUGAUGCUGCAAUCGAACCCAGGACUUCAUCCAUUCAAGGCAGUGACUCUAUCAACUGUUCUUCAUUCCCAGCACUAUUCCAUGGCAUGGUGCAUAACAUUGAUCCAGCUUCUGGAUCAAUUUCGCCAAUAUGAUUUGAUCCACCAUGUGGUUGAUGGAAAUUGAACUCAGGACCUCUGGAAGAACAGUCAGUGCUCUUACCCAAUGAGCCAUCUCUCCAGCCUCAGAAUCAGAAUUAUUUGGAAUCUGCAAACCUGAAGGUUGAUGGAAC